GUGUUGACUGCUUUUAAGUUUGAGUUUCUUGCAAGUUCAGAACGGAUAAGUAAACUUAGAUGCUUGUAGUAUGUAUUUGAUAAUAUGAAAUUAUUGCUUAAUCAACAAGUUAAUGUUUGGUGUCCUAUAGGUUUGUUGUACUUGACAUUGUAUUAUUUUCUGGUACUGCAUUUACCAACAUUUUUAAUUAACAAGAGAAAACGAGUUUUGAUAUUAACGGUGCAUUUCGUGUUGCAUGAAUGUUUUUGCGCGUUGAAUAAGAGAUUUACGUAUGCCCACCAAUAGCGUUAAAAAGUGUGGGGGCAAAUACGUGGCAGUUAUACAUUGUUGUACCGAAGCGAAGUCGAAGGAUUUUCGGAAUAAAUUUCAGGUGAUACUACAUCUUUAAUAAAAUACCAAAAAACCAAGUAAGUAAAUACAUUUACAUUGCAUUUAAUUGCAUUUAAAUAAAAAAGUACCAGCAGUUGAACAGGAACAGUACAGAAUGAUGAUUCCCAGAUAGCAAACAUUCUGGCACAAUUCUGGCUUACACUGGGCAUUUAUGGCUUAAUUCGGGCUCUCUUUUGUUCACACCCUUGUGUGAAACAGCUUUCGGGGGAGUUGUGGCAUGAGUCUAGCCAGCCAAAAGCAAAAGGUACCUUUUUUGGUUGAGCCCUGGCUUGAGUUUGGUCUGCCAUAAAAGAGUAAAUAGUCGGCUGAGAUAUGGGUAGGUUCUGGUUAGCCAAAAAGCAAAAAGAUUCAUGCUAUUUUCUUUUAUAUGUAUAUACCAUUAUAAGGUUAAUUUUAUCCAAACAGUUUUAAUAACAUAAAAUGUUUUCUUGCAGUUUUUAAUUCCUUUAAAAUAUUUAUUCCUGUCGCAGAAACGCAUCAAAGGCUAUUUAAAAUGAGGACUACAAAGUAAUUAACCCUGUAAAGCCUACUUUUGUAAUAAUAUAACAUCAGUUUUGGCUGUAAUAAAAUAUACCUGUACAUUUUUUUUCUUUAAAACCAUAUUCUGAAGUCCUAUUGUUUAACCUUGCAAUGCAUUUGAAGGGUAGACUUUGAAAAUCGGUUGAUUUUCCUGGCUGUGAACAAAACCUGCAAACCUGACUUGAGGAACAUGAUCUUUUUUACUGAAAUAAAUGAAUAAAUCAACAAUCACCACAUGCGGAUGACGUCACAUUAUCGCGAGAUGUUAGACUUCUACGUGUGAUUUCUCGCUCUCGCGGUACUUUUACCUAAUCCGGAAGUACGUAGCGACCAGCCACGCGUUACGGAGGAAAUAUUCAAACUGCUGUUCAGAGUUUGAUCAUCACGCGACGCGAAUUGUUUGUUUUUUGGAGUUCUUGGAGUGAGUCUAUCGACUUUUGCAUUAACGUUACAUUGAGAUAAUUACAGUGAAGCACGUCGGAAGCUGCCUCUUGCAGAGCAACAAACAGAUCUGCAGUCAGAGGCAGAGACUGACCCCCUGAGAGCACCGAAACGGAAAAUGAAAUGAUCUAUUGGUCGACUACGAUACAGAUGAGGAGGCCAUUGCACCGAAAAAGAAUUUGCCGCAAGCCCCAUACAUACAACCACUAUCAAAAAGAGCUUUCUCUGCUUUAGAUGAGGUUCAACCAAGUCCUCUACAACACAGACCCCAAAGGUCCCCAUCUGUGACACAGGUUCCAGGGACCUCAAGACAGGUGUUGAUGGAAAGAAGCCCUACCUCUCAAUGGCAGAACUUUGAAAGUGCUCUAGGAAAGUCGUUACGGCAAGCAAUAGACCUACCUGCACAGUCACCAGCUCAGACUCUUUUCCAGACUGCCCAUCAGAUGGUUCCAGAAGCAGAAAAUUAGUCAAUUGUCAUGGCAAAGAGGAUCAACGCUACAAUCUCCCGAGGAGCCAACACAACCUCUGUGGCAUCGUGAAACACCCAGAAGAAGCUAUUCAAUGGAUGAUCCAUUCAAAAAAUUAUUCUUUUGCAAAGAAACAUUGUACGGAUGAUUCAAGACCUGAAAUCCAACAAUGUAAGGGAGAUCACAGAGGAAAACGAACUAAGUCCCACUCUUUUUCCAGUGGAAGAUUUAAGGUCCCUAACUUCUCUUGAAAAUAAUCUUCGAUCCAGUCCUGAAACAAGACGGAAAGUGGUAAUUGAACUUGGAUUGCUUGGUGGGGUGGAUGCUAAGGACAAAAUUUGGCGUAUAAUGAAACAGACAAUAAAAAACGACUUUGCAAAAAAGGAUGAACUGGAAAGGCGCAAAUGGAAAAAACCCCAUUCCAAGGUCUUGAACUGAAAAACGUUGUGAUUGAGGCUGUGAGACGAAACCCACCAUUUAUGCACAAGUUAAUUUUGUUUAAAAUUUGCACUAUUGUUUUCUUUAGUUUUAAUUUUGUUUUCACACUUUUGUCAUUUUUCAUAUUUGCCUUUCACGGUAUUAAAAUGUUUUUGGUCUUUCAUAACUAGCUUUUGUUUGGUUUCUUUUAAUUUAUGCACAACACUUACAUUUGUUUUUAAUUGUAAUAUUGGUUUAAUUUUGUUUAUAAUGUAGUUUUUCUUUGCUGUGUUAUUCUUGUAUUUUGAUUUGAUUGCUUUGGUAUAAUUUUUUAUUACCAUGUUUUUUUUAAAACAACAAUUACAAUAAACACGUUAAUUUGGA